rnacentral:rRNA from 1 species
GAUGAACGCUGGCGGCGUGCCUAACACAUGCAAGUCGAGCGGUAUAUACUUGAAUGAAACUUCGGUCGAGUGAGAGUAUAGAGAGCGGCGGACGGGUGAGUAACGCGUAGGCAACCUGCCCCAUACAGAGGGAUAGCCUCGGGAAACCGGGAUUAAAACCUCAUAACGCUGGAAGUUCACAUGGACAUCCAGCCAAAGAUUUAUCGGUAUGGGAUGGGCCUGCGUCUGAUUAGCUAGUUGGUGGGGUAACGGCCUACCAAGGCAACGAUCAGUAGCCGACCUGAGAGGGUAAUCGGCCACAUUGGAACUGAGACACGGUCCAAACUCCUACGGGAGGCAGCAGUGGGGAAUAUUGCACAAUGGGCGAAAGCCUGAUGCAGCAACGCCGCGUGAGCGAUGAAGGCCUUUGGGUCGUAAAGCUCUGUCCUUGGGGAAGAAAAAAAUGACGGUACCCUUGGAGGAAGCCCCGGCUAACUACGUGCCAGCCGCCGCAGUAACAC